CACUAUAAUCUCCUUGGUUUUGCCUGUAUAAAGGAUCAAGUUGUCUGUCCACCACGCUAUAAGUCACUCCACCUCGUUCCUGUAGGCAGGCUCAUCUCCCCCUGAGAUGAGACCCACUACAGUUGUGUGGUCUCGAAAUACAAUCGUGUGUACAGCGUGAAGAGCAGAGGGCUCAGCACACUUCCCUGAGAGUCGGUGCUGAUGCUGAUAACUGAAGAGGUAUGCAGGCCCACUCUGACUCUUUGUUUGUGAUCUGUCAUGAAGUCCUUAAUCCAGCAACAGGUGGAAGAGGGGAUUCCCAGGUCUGCCAGUUUACACACUAAUAUGUCAUGGAGGAUGGUAUUGAAAGCCAAGUUAAAAUUAGUGAAGAGGAUUUGUGCGUAGCGUUCCAGGUGGGACAAGACAGCAUGCAGGACAGUGGCAACAACAUCUUCAGUUAACCUGUUAACUCUAUAAGCAAACUGGUGCAUAUCAAAGGUGUGAGGAAUGAACCCCAAGAUGUGACUCUUAACCAGUCUUUCGAAACAUUUCAUCACCAAUGGGGUGAAAGCCACUAGUCGGUAGUCAUUCAGCCAGGUGAUCUGUGAUGUGAUUUAUUAUUUUUUUUUUAGGAAUGGGAAUGAUGGUGGAGAUGGGCAUGAUGGGACUCUGGCCUGAGACAGGGACAGAUGUUAAGAUCUUUAGUAAAUACCCUAUCCAGCUGUUCUGCACAGUACCUCAGCACACAUCCAGGAGCACCAUCAGAUCCUGCUGCCUUUCUGGGAUGGACAGAGUAUAGCGAGCGUCUCACCUCACUUCAUAUUCCUCCACCUUGAGGAUAAAGUUGCUUAACUGCACUACUGCAUUCAGAACAGCCGUAACUGGAGGCUUCGACCCGAAACGAGUAAAGAAGUGGUUCAACAUCUCCACGUCAGUUGCUCCAUUGCAGCUGAAGCUGUAGUUGAUGUGCUGGAUUCCCACCCAAACCUGCCUGCUGUUAUUGCCUGGGUGCUCCUUCAUCCUCCUCUUGUAAUCUCUUUUAGCCUUUCUGAUUCCUCUCUUUUGGUCACUCCAUGCAAGCUGCAUUGAAUUGAGUUCAUGUAAAGUUUAGGGUUAAGUAUAUACUGGUAAUGGUUCGGUUUAGUUGGGGUUAGGCGAUAGAAAUGAAUGGCAGUCGGAUAAAGAAGCAUAACGUGUGCGUAUAUUUGUUCAGAUGCUGGGAGUCCAGGGUGCCAGUCAGCAGUACCCAGGGGAGAAUGCCUGCCAGUUGGCCAGGAUUGUAUGUGCCACAGUGCUGGCUGGAGAGCUCUCACUGCUGAGUGCUCUGGCUGCUGGGCACCUUGUCAAGAGUCACAUGACUCAUAACAGAUCUAAGGUGGACCUACAUGGGACUCGGGGAACAAUGCAGACUGAAAGAAGUUAGGUCUUGUUCAAGAAACUGGAUGGAAGCCAUAAAGAUUAAGCCAGUUUGAACGGAUUAAUCAUUUAUCAAUGAAGAAAAGAUCUCACCUGUCUUCCACAGCUCUUGAUACAAGAUCAUAUUUUGAUCAAGUAUUGUUCAGUGCAUAAAAAAAAUCUUAAGCAACUCAGUUUUUCUUACUGCAUCUACUUGUAUUUGAUGAUUUUGUCAUCAAGCAUUUUUGCCAAACUAAUCAAACUGAGAUGUACAAAGGUAAAACUUGAGCUCAAUAAAUGUUUCUUGCUGGGGAGUCAUACUCACCAGCAAAGCUGCUUUUUA